rnacentral:rRNA from 1 species
UUAAGCGACUAAGCGUACACGGUGGAUGCCCUGGCAGUCAGAGGCGAUGAAGGACGUGCUAAUCUGCGAAAAGCGCCGGCGAGGUGAUAUGAACCCUUGACCCGGCGAUGUCCGAAUGGGGAAACCCAGUGCAAUCCGUUGCACUAUCGUUAACUGAAUACAUAGGUUAACGAGGCGAACCGGGGGAACUGAAACAUCUAAGUACCCCGAGGAAAAGAAAUCAACCGAGAUUCCCCCAGUAGCGGCGAGCGAACGGGGAGCAGCCCGGAGUCUGAAUCAGCUUGUGUGUUAGUGGAACGGUCUGGAAAGUCCGACGGUACAGGGUGAUAGUCCCGUACACGAAAGCACACUUGCUGUGAACUCGAAGAGUAGGGCGGGACACGUGGUAUCCUGUCUGAAUAUGGGGGGACCAUCCUCCAAGGCUAAAUACUCCUGACUGACCGAUAGUGAACCAGUACCGUGAGGGAAAGGCGAAAAGAACCCCGGCGAGGGGAGUGAAAAAGAACCUGAAACCGUGUACGUACAAGCAGUGGGAGCCUCUUUAUGGGGUGACUGCGUACCUUUUGUAUAAUGGGUCAGCGACUUAUAUUCUGUAGCAAGGUUAACCGUAUAGGGGAGCCGAAGGGAAACCGAGUCUUAACUGGGCGUUAAGUUGCAGGGUAUAGACCCGAAACCCGGUGAUCUAGCCAUGGGCAGGUUGAAGGUUGGGUAACACUAACUGGAGGACCGAACCGACUAAUGUUGAAAAAUUAGCGGAUGACCUGUGGCUGGGGGUGAAAGGCCAAUCAAACCGGGAGAUAGCUGGUUCUCCCCGAAAGCUAUUUAGGUAGCGCCUCGUGAACUCAUCUUCGGGGGUAGAGCACUGUUUCGGCUAGGGGGCCAUCCCGGCUUACCAACCCGAUGCAAACUACGAAUACCGAAGAAUGUUAUCACGGGAGACACACGGCGGGUGCUAACGUCCGUCGUGAAGAGGGAAACAACCCAGACCGCCAGCUAAGGUCCCAAAGUCAUGGUUAAGUGGGAAACGAUGUGGGAAGGCACAGACAGCCAGGAUGUUGGCUUAGAAGCAGCCAUCAUUUAAAGAAAGCGUAAUAGCUCACUGGUCGAGUCGGCCUGCGCGGAAGAUGUAACGGGGCUAAACCAUGCACCGAAGCUGCGGCAGCGACGCUUAUGCGUUGUUGGGUAGGGGAGCGUUCUGUAAGCCGUUGAAGGUGUGCUGUGAGGCAUGCUGGAGGUAUCAGAAGUGCGAAUGCUGACAUAAGUAACGAUAAAGCGGGUGAAAAGCCCGCUCGCCGGAAGACCAAGGGUUCCUGUCCAACGUUAAUCGGGGCAGGGUGAGUCGACCCCUAAGGCGAGGCCGAAAGGCGUAGUCGAUGGGAAACAGGUUAAUAUUCCUGUACUUGGUGUUACUGCGAAGGGGGGACGGAGAAGGCUAUGUCAGCCGGGCGACGGUUGUCCCGGUUUAAGCAUGUAGGCGGAGGUUCCAGGUAAAUCCGGUACCUUAUUAACGCUGAGGUGUGAUGACGAGGCACUACGGUGCUGAAGUGAUAAAUGCCCUGCUUCCAGGAAAAGCCUCUAAGCAUCAGGUAACACGAAAUCGUACCCCAAACCGACACAGGUGGUCAGGUAGAGAAUACCAAGGCGCUUGAGAGAACUCGGGUGAAGGAACUAGGCAAAAUGGUGCCGUAACUUCGGGAGAAGGCACGCUGAUGUGUAGGUGAAGCCCCUGCGGGUGGAGCUGAAAUCAGUCGAAGAUACCAGCUGGCUGCAACUGUUUAUUAAAAACACAGCACUGUGCAAACACGAAAGUGGACGUAUACGGUGUGACGCCUGCCCGGUGCCGGAAGGUUAAUUGAUGGGGUUAGCGGCAACGCGAAGCUCUUGAUCGAAGCCCCGGUAAACGGCGGCCGUAACUAUAACGGUCCUAAGGUAGCGAAAUUCCUUGUCGGGUAAGUUCCGACCUGCACGAAUGGCGUAAUGAUGGCCAGGCUGUCUCCACCCGAGACUCAGUGAAAUUGAACUCGCUGUGAAGAUGCAGUGUACCCGCGGCAAGACGGAAAGACCCCGUGAACCUUUACUAUAGCUUGACACUGAACACUGGUCCUUGAUGUGUAGGAUAGGUGGGAGGCUUUGAAGCGUGGACGCCAGUCUGCGUGGAGCCNAUCCGGGUUGCGGACAGUGUCUGGUGGGUAGUUUGACUGGGGCGGUCUCCUCCCAAAGAGUAACGGAGGAGCACGAAGGUUGGCUAAUCCUGGUCGGACAUCAGGAGGUUAGUGCAAUGGCAUAAGCCAGCUUGACUGCGAGCGUGACGGCGCGAGCAGGUGCGAAAGCAGGUCAUAGUGAUCCGGUGGUUCUGAAUGGAAGGGCCAUCGCUCAACGGAUAAAAGGUACUCCGGGGAUAACAGGCUGAUACCGCCCAAGAGUUCAUAUCGACGGCGGUGUUUGGCACCUCGAUGUCGGCUCAUCACAUCCUGGGGCUGAAGUAGGUCCCAAGGGUAUGGCUGUUCGCCAUUUAAAGUGGUACGCGAGCUGGGUUUAGAACGUCGUGAGACAGUUCGGUCCCUAUCUGCCGUGGGCGCUGGAGAAUUGAGGGGGGCUGCUCCUAGUACGAGAGGACCGGAGUGGACGCAUCACUGGUGUUCGGGUUGUCAUGCCAAUGGCACUGCCCGGUAGCUAAAUGCGGAAGAGAUAAGUGCUGAAAGCAUCUAAGCACGAAACUUGCCCCGAGAUGAGUUCUCCCUGAGACUUUAAGUCUCCUGAAGGAACGUUGAAGACGACGACGUUGAUAGGUCGGGUGUGUAAGCGCAGCGAUGCGUUGAGCUAACCGAUACUAAUGAACCGUGAGGCUUAACCUU